AAAAAUCUGAAGUAACAGAUAUUUUUAGUAUUCGCAAAGUAUGAAGUCAUAGGUAAAAAUAAACAUGAACAUGAACAAUUACUUAAGGAGAUAUGGUUCAAAUAAAAGGUAUCUUGAACGAGGUCCUUUUUAAACAUCAAAAUGAGUGCAGUUGAUCGUAAUAUUAGGUUUCAAAUAUUUGGUUCCCCAUUAUAAACAAUGAGGGAAGAUAUUUCUUAUCGAGGGAAAAUGUCGACGAGACAAAAUCCCAACUAAAGAGCAAAAAUAAGAGCCCCAGGCCACUUGCUCAAAGGUACUAGUCUACUCGGGUAGGCAAAAUAAAUGAUUAAAUCACUCUAAAAAAAGAUGUUUACAGCAUUUGCAGCAUAUCUUUUUUUGUUUUUGUUGUAGUUGUUCAAAUAAAAGACUA
rnacentral:lncRNA from 1 species